AUUAGGUCACUCUCCCUUCCAAAUCGCUCUCAGCCUCUUUCUCACUCUCCAUCGUUCUCAGCCUCUCUCUCACUCCCCAUCGCUCUCAGCCUCAAUCCCGCUCACCCUCUCACCCUUGUCGAGCCUCUCAGCCUCACUCUCACUCAGCCUCGUCUCUCUCCGUCGCGCGCGCCUUUAGUCUCUCCACCACGGGUUCUCUCUCCGUCAGUCUCCCUCAGUCGCGACUCCAUAUCUCUCUCUCUCUCUCCCUCUCUCCCCCUCCCCCUUGAGGAUCCACAGGUUCACUCUUCAGCCUCCAUCUCUCUCUCCUUAUUUUGUGACACGGGUUGGGUGCACCGGCGUUGUGUUUUUGGUUGAGGAGAAAGAUGAACGACUCAGAUUGUAAUUUUUAAUAAUAAAAUUCAGGAACUUCCGGGCACAAUUACUAGCUAAUGCACAUGCUGCAUUCUAAUUGGACUUUCUAAUGACAGGUUGAUGUACUUUCCAAGGGGACUAAUUUUAAUUGUAUUGGUGAUUGGGUUGUGGAGGCCACUGUAAAGUAAGAUUAGUUUGCAUGCACAUUUUCUUCUACUUAUUUAUAUAGUAUCUAUCUAAAAGAGUUUCCCUUGGUGCUUGUUUGUUUGCAAUGUUAUGAGCAUUCACCUGACGAGUGCAAAGUCUUUGGUUGGAGUAGUUGGAGUUGCACAAAAGGAAAAGAAGGGGCGGGAUGUGUAUGUUAUGGUGAGCUUCUUGAUGGGAAUUCUGGAAGUUUACUUAGUACUGAGCAGCAAAUCCAUGCUCCAGCUAAUUUAAAAAAGGGUACACACCAAAUGCUUUCACAAGCAAUAUAGUGCUUUUAACAGAUCACACAGUUUUGCUUUUCUGGGCCAUGCAAAUACUGAAAGGCACUUUGCAUUUUGUCUUCAUCAAGAUUGGGUAUCAAGGUGGGCUUUGCUUAAAAAUUAGGAUCAAGAAGGUUGGUAUGCGGAGAUAAUAAUAAAGGCAUAUGGAGAAAGCUUGCCUUGACCACACUGCUGGCUUAGUUGCUGUGCGUAAAUAGUACUAUCGUAUCUAGUAGUUGGUGACUUAUUUUGGUAACCUCCUUGAUUGUACAAGAUAGACAAUAUUACUUGCUAGAUUGAGGUUACUUUUGGUUAGGAUUGCUGGAUUUGAUCAUAUCUGGAUAUGGAUAUGUACUUUUGGAAAUGUUUUGGAUUGGCAAUGUAAGAACAGAUGGCAUUGAUAUAUGACAAUGUUAUAUUUUGGAUUUGUUCAGGAUAUGAAUGUUCAUAUUUGCAACAA